rnacentral:lncRNA from 1 species
UUUGUAUUCAAUAUGGAGACAUUAAAGACAUUUUAGCAGAGGAGUGAUCUAAUCACAGCUCCACAUUUGACAAUGGAUAUGGGAUGGAUUAGCGGGCAGAAAGAUGGGAAAAGGAGAAACUAGCCCUAGGCCAUUGCAGGAGCCCAGGUAAAAGGGGGCAUCUAAGAGGGCAACUUGGAGAGAUGGGGAUGGAUGCGAGAGAACUUGCAAAGGAGAAUCAGGGGAACCUGGAAAUUGACUAGAUGAGGUGGACUGAGGUAGAAUGAGUCUAUGCCAGGUGACGGGGAAGCGACUCCUUUAUGCUGCUUUCUCAAACACCCCUGGAGCCUCUUUGAAGGGUAUAUCAAGUCCCGAGGAGCCAGUGUUUGAGAAGAGAUGAUAAACUGAGCUUCAGACAUCUUGAGUUGCUGAUGGGGUAUCUUGAUCAAGUGGUUCAACAGGCAGAGAGUGGAGUUAGGAAGAGAUAUGCAUGGGGGCGGUCUGCCCAGAAUCCCCCUUGCAGUCAUGGGAAGGCUGUGAGGUCACAAAGAGAGACCUUGACAGUGGAGAGCAUGGAUUUAUCAAUGGGGAAUCCCAUUGAUUUGACAAUCACCCUGCAUAAGAGGUGGAAGGCAGAGAGCGCUGGAGCUGGACAGGGAGAUGAGAAGGCAGUCUGAGAGGUGAGAGCAGCCUCCGGGAAGACCUGUUUCCUGGAAGCCAAGCCAGGAGGCAGCUCAAGGAGGAAAGUGAAAUGUUGCAGAAAUCAGGGUUAAAGAGAUCACUAGCUUUUAGAAGGAGGUGGAUAUUUUGACUUGGGAAAAGAAUUUCAGUGAGAUGGUAGUAGUAGGCAUCAGACAGUUAGGGGCAAAACACAUGUUGGAAGACAGGAAGAAGUCCUGGAGAUUUAUCCUGGAAAUCUUUGUCAGAGAAGAGACUGGGGUAUUAAACUGAUGGAUGAGGCCAGGCACGGUGGCUCAUGCCUGUAAUCCCAGCACUUUGAGAGGCUGAGGUGGGUGGAUCACUUGAGGUCAGGAGUUCAAGACCAGCCUGGCCAACAUGGCAAAACCCUGUCUCUACUAAAAAUACAAAAAUUAGCCAGGUAUGGUGGCCCAUGCCUGUAGUCCCAGCUACUCGGGAGUCUGAGGCAUGAGAAUUGCUUGAACCUGGGAGAGGGAGGUUGCAGCGAGUUGCGAUUAUACCACUGCACUCCAGCCUGGGUGACAGAGCGAGACUCUGUCUACAUAAAGUAAUAAACUAAUAAAUUGAGUGGGUGAAAGUGUUGCUCUCAAGUUUUUUAGAUUAGAAGUGAUGCAAUCAAGUUAUCAAGCAGAAGAGAAGGAGUGACUGGAGUGAAGACAAGGAUAAAAGGUGCCAAACAGGACCAGGCAUGGUGGCUUACGCCUGUAAUCCCAACACUUGCGGAGGCCAAGGUGGGAGGAUCGCUUGAGGCCAGGAGUUUGAGAACAGACUGGGCAGCAGAGUGAGGCCCUUGUCUCUAUUAAAAAAAAAUAAAUAAAUAAAAGUGCAAGACUGGUGGAGCCGAAUGGCGAAAAAUCCUCCAGGAGAUGGGAGAGAAAAGGAUCAGGAACAAAGGCCCUCUCCCAAGAGAGAGAAAAAGAGAAGGAAAAAAAUUCAGAAGUUGGGGCGGUGAGGAGCAGCCGUCGGUGGCCUGGUGGCAGUUUAUAGGCCCAGGGCCAUAUGUCCCAGAGUGACAUGCAGGGUUGCAAUUCUGCAAUGACAAAGAACAGCUGCGGUGACCACAGCGUGAACCACGACUGAUGACAAUCUGCAGGGAUUUUUGCAUCAAACCGGCAGUGUGGCUCGCAUAAUGGAUGAUGUCAUCCUUGAAGGCAGAAACCAUGUGUCCCCAGAAGUAUGUUGGCUCUCAAUAAGUAGCUGUUGAAUAAAUGAGUUGCUGGAUAUUCACAACUCACAUUUGCUAAGCGU